UACGUAGGGUCCGAGCGUUGUCCGGAAUUACUGGGCGUAAAGAGCUCGUAGGUGGUUUGUCGCGUUGUUCGUGAAAACUCACAGCUCAACUGUGGGCGUGCGGGCGAUACGGGCAUCACUUGAGUUCGGCAGGGGAGACUGGAAUUCCUGGUGUAGCGGUGAAAUGCGCAGAUAUCAGGAGGAACACCGGUGGCGAAGGCGGGUCUCUGGGCC
rnacentral:rRNA from 1 species